UUCCCCCAGUAACUGCGAGUGAAGAGGGAAGAGCUCAUCAUUGGAAUCUGGCAGCGUUGCGCUGUCCGAGUUGUAGAUGAGAAGAGUAGGCCAUCUGGGCUGCGUGGUGUCCAAGUACAAUAGGCCGUCAGUGGGACAUCAUAGAGGGUGACAAUCCCGUCCUUGACAUCAAUGUACGAGUCCAUUACGAUGCCUAUCUCAGAGAGUCGAGCAGUUUGGGAUUUGCUGCUUAAACAUGGGAGGUAGAUUCCUUCUAAAGCUAAAUACAGGCAAGAGACCGAUAGAGAACAAGUACCGCAAGGGAAAGAUGAAACAGAACUCUGUGAAGGGAGUCAAAAAGACGUGAAAUUGUUGCGAGAGAAGCGAUUCAAGUCAGCGUAGCUAGGCCCAUCAAGCAUCUCGCUUUGGACUGGCUUUGCCAGCGGUCUUGUCCUUUAGAGACUUGACUAACGUGCCCUGCCCGGUCUGACGGGCAGGUCCCCUUGGCCAGUGGCACGGCUGGUGGAAUGGCUUGCAAUCGACCCGUCUUGAAACACGGACCAAGGAGUCUAACAUG
rnacentral:rRNA from 1 species